AGGGGCCUCGCAGUUGUUGGCUAUAUGAAUGGGCCUUGCGGUGAGGUGGAACUGAGCUCAACCCGGCGGCGGCCAAGGACUCCUUCUCCUUCUCAUCCUCGUCAAUUCGCUCAUCCAUGAUAGGUUAGGAGGUUCUUUCUUCGAUUGAAUUCAAUUUUUGUAUGAUAAUUACAAGAGAGACAAACUGAAAAUAGAAUUUGCAUGAUGGAAAGGGUCUCCCGAUAGAGGGGAUUGACGACCGAUAAAUAAGGCGUCGCAUACUGCAAGCUUACGGACAGGAAUUGUUGUUUCCUUUCUUUUACUAACACAUCCAAACUCAACGCAAUGCACUCACUGAGUGACGCGAGUUGCUAUCUUCCCCGAAUUUUUUCACAAAUUAAUAACUAUUAUAAUUUUGGCAUGUAUUUAAAUGCAAUGUUAUUGUUAACAACCGUUCUUGCUAAAUAUAUAAAUUCAAAUUUUCCUU